rnacentral:rRNA from 1 species
GUCCAACGUUAAUCGGGGCAGGGUGAGUCGACCCCUAAGGCGAGGCCGAAAGGCGUAGUCGAUGGGAAACGGGUUAAUAUUCCCGUACUUGGUGUUACUGCGAAGGGGGGACGGAGAAGGCUAUGUUGGCCGGGCGACGGUUGUCCCGGUUUAAGCGUGUAGGUGUGUGUUCCAGGUAAAUCCGGUUCACUUUAACACUGAGGCGUGACGACGAGGCACUACGGUGCUGAAGCAACAAAUGCCCUGCUUCCAGGAAAAGCCUCUAAGCAUCAGGUAACAUCAAAUCGUACCCCAAACCGACACAGGUGGUCAGGUAGAGAAUACCAAGGCGCUUGAGAGAACUCGGGUGAAGGAACUAGGCAAAAUGGUGCCGUAACUUCGGGAGAAGGCACGCUGACACGUAGGUGAAGUGAUUUACUCAUGGAGCUGAAGUCAGUCGAAGAUACCAGCUGGCUGCAACUGUUUAUUAAAAACACAGCACUGUGCAAACACGAAAGUGGACGUAUACGGUGUGACGCCUGCCCGGUGCCGGAAGGUUAAUUGAUGGGGUCAGCGCAAGCGAAGCUCCUGAUCGAAGCCCCGGUAAACGGCGGCCGUAACUAUAACGGUCCUAAGGUAGCGAAAUUCCUUGUCGGGUAAGUUCCGACCUGCACGAAUGGCGUAAUGAUGGCCAGGCUGUCUCCACCCGAGACUCAGUGAAAUUGAACUCGCUGUGAAGAUGCAGUGUACCCGCGGCAAGACGGAAAGACCCCGUGAACCUUUACUAUAGCUUGACACUGAACAUUGAGCCUUGAUGUGUAGGAUAGGUGGGAGGCUUUGAAGUGUGGACGCCAGUCUGCAUGGAGCCGACCUUGAAAUACCACCCUUUAAUGUUUGAUGUUCUAACGUGGACCCGUAAUCCGGGUUGCGGACAGUGUCUGGUGGGUAGUUUGACUGGGGCGGUCUCCUCCUAAAGAGUAACGGAGGAGCACGAAGGUUGGCUAAUCCUGGUCGGACAUCAGGAGGUUAGUGCAAUGGCAUAAGCCAGCUUGACUGCGAGCGUGACGGCGCGAGCAGGUGCGAAAGCAGGUCAUAGUGAUCCGGUGGUUCUGAAUGGAAGGGCCAUCGCUCAACGGAUAAAAGGUACUCCGGGGAUAACAGGCUGAUACCGCCCAAGAGUUCAUAUCGACGGCGGUGUUUGGCACCUCGAUGUCGGCUCAUCACAUCCUGGGGCUGAAGUAGGUCCCAAGGGUAUGGCUGUUCGCCAUUUAAAGUGGUACGCGAGCUGGGUUUAGAACGUCGUGAGACAGUUCGGUCCCUAUCUGCCGUGGGCGCUGGAGAACUGAGGGGGGCUGCUCCUAGUACGAGAGGACCGGAGUGGACGCAUCACUGGUGUUCGGGUUGUCAUGCCAAUGGCACUGCCCGGUAGCUAAAUGCGGAAGAGAUAAGUGCUGAAAGCAUCUAAGCACGAAACUUGCCCCGA